GACGAACGCUGGCGGCGUGCUUAACACAUGCAAGUCGAACGGUGAAAGCGGAGCUUGCUCCGCUGGAUCAGUGGCGAACGGGUGAGUAACACGUGGGCAACCAGCCCCUCACUUCGGGAUAACUCCGGGAAACCGGGGCUAAUACCGGAUAUGACCUCCUUGGGCAUCCUUGGAGGUGGAAAGUUUUUCGGUGAGGGAUGGGCCCGCGGCCUAGCAGCUUGUUGGUGAGGUAGUGGCUCACCAAGGCGACGACGGGUAGCCGGCCUGAGAGGGCGGCGGGACACACGGGGACUGGGACACGGCCCAGACUCCUGCGGGAGGCAGCAGUGGGGAAUAUUGCGCAAUGGGCGAAAGCCUGACGCAGCAACGCCGCGGGCGGGAUGACGGCCUUCGGGUUGUAAACCGCUUUCAGCAGGGAAGAAGCCGCAAGGUGACGGUACCUGCAGAAGAAGCACCGGCUAACUACGUGCCAGCAGCCGCCGUAA
rnacentral:rRNA from 1 species